rnacentral:miRNA from 1 species
CAUACCAUUUGCAAAAGUAGACAACCCAGGGUAUUCAAUAUGAGGUAUGUCCAGUCUUUUUUAGUAGCCACUUAGUCACAAACACUGGCCACAGUUAGCAUUUACAUUUGUUUGUGUGUUAAAAAAGCAAAAAACAAUUAUGAAUACUAACUUUGGCCAGUGUUUGUGACUAAGUGGCUACUAAAAAAGACUGGACACACCCCAUUUACAAUACCUUGGGUUGUCUACUUUUGCAAAUGGCAUG